UGGCUAUUUUUAUAUUAUGCUACUCUGGAUCUUAUUUAAACCAGUUUUAGCUGACUUUGUCUGAUGAUGCUCUGGCGUAAGAAGGGAGGAGAGGACACUGCUUCAUUACUGCCAGGUGGAGGUCGAAGUUCAAGUUCUCCAUUUUGCCUGCACCGACACCUGAGAGCCAAGCCAGCAAGCACUACCUCCAUGCUUAUCCCCAGGAUGUGACCAAGGAAAGUGGUAUCUCCUGGCAGUGGAUUAACUGGGAAAUGCACAUUGGGAGGUGCACAGCACACAUACCUGGGGGCCUAGGAACUAUAUGCCCACCAACCCAAUAUUCUGAUAUAACACGCCCUCAAGAAAUAAAAAUCUUGCCCUGGUUGGAUAUCACUGUGAUGGGAAACAGGGAAGAAUGGGUAGUAUCAGAUGAUGGGCAAAAGGAGCUGCAUUUUUUUUUUUUUAACUAGUGGAAGGAUGAUAAUAUAACAGGGCCCUUGAAGGAGAUCAUGUAGUAAUAAAACACAGUCCAUGUGAUUUGGAGUCAGUCGUAUUUCUACCCCAUAGAAGUACACUGUCCAGAAUAGUAAAUACAAAUGGUUAUUUAAAUUUAAACUAAUUAAAUUUAAAUUAAAAAUUAAAACUUA